AGGAAUCCAGACAGCAGUGUAUGUGCCAAUUUAAGGAUUUCUAGAGAUAAUUUACAGGCAGAAAAUGAAGAGCUGAGGAGAAGUUUGGAGGAACAGCAGCAUUUGUCAAAUAGGAUACUUGAGGAAAAUCGCAGGUUCAGGCUAUUACUGGCUAGGCAAGCAGGUGGUGUUGCUUUUGAAGGAAGCAGUGUAGCUGUAGGAGAGGGCAAUGCAUCAGAUUGCAGCGAGGUUGAACCAGAAGCUGAUGAGCAGCCAGGUCCAUUUCCUUAUCUCCAAAAGUCAGACUUCGAAGAUUCCAGUGAUGACGAGUUCUUUGACGCACUAGACCACUGACUCCUGUUAAUGCAAAGUGAGAUACCAUGUUUGCCUCAGAUGGCAGUUUAUGGGCUGAGAAAAUAAGUUAAUGUUGUAAAUAUUUAAAAACUAGAUGCAUACCUGUAGGUGCUUGUAAUGGUACAACUAGGCGUAAUCUACAUUCAGUUUUUUCACACAUUUCAUGUGGAAUUU